rnacentral:rRNA from 1 species
AGUAUGUGGUUUAAUUCGAUGCAACGCGAAGAACCUUACCUGGUCUUGACAUCCCGGAGACCCUUAGGAAACUAGGGGGUGCUUCCAUCUGGAAGAAUCUGGAGACAGGUGCUGCAUGGCUGUCGUCAGCUCGUGUCGUGAGAUGUUGGGUUAAGUCCCGCAACGAGCGCAACCCUUGCCUUUAGUUGCCAGCAGUUCGGCUGGGCACUCUAAAGGGACUGCCGGUGUUAAACCGGAGGAAGGUGGGGAUGACGUCAAAUCAUCAUGCCCCUUAUGACCUGGGCUACAAACGUGAUACAAUGGCUGGAACAAAGGGAUGCGAAGCAGUGAUGUGGAGCGAAACCCAUAAAAACAGUCUCAGUUCGGAUUGAAGUCUGCAACUCGACUUCAUGAAGUCGGAAUCGCUAGUAAUCGUGAAUCAGAAUGUCACGGUGAAUACGUUCCCGGGCCUU